CCCCUGCUCAUGCUCCUUCCCCACUCCCCUCUCAAAAAAUAAAUAAAGUUAAAAAAAAAAUGUCCACUGUGGGAGAAGUCAUACAUACUUUAAAAAAAAAAAAAAGGAACUAAGGACUUAAAAUCACAUAGAUUACCUUCAAAAGGAUAGAACACUCAAAUCUGAAUGAUUUGUUUUAAGAGGAUUAAAAAAAACUUUUAGUUUGAAAUAAUUAUAGAUUCACAGGAAGGUACAAAGAAAUGUCUAGGGAGUAUUAUUCAAAUUAUUCAGCAUAAUUUCCUUAAGGUUCAUCCAAGUUGUUGUGUGGAUAUAGAAUUCAUUCCUUUUUAAUGCUGAGUAUUAUUCUGUGGUAUGGAUGUACCUACCAUACCCUUUUAAGGAUAUUUGGUGGUUUCCAGUUUGGCGCUAUUAUGAAAAAGCUGCUGUGACAUUCCUGUACAAGUUUCUAAAUGAAAAUAAGUUUUCAUUUCUCUCGUAUAUGUGCCUAAGAGUGCAAUUCUGGCUUGUGUGAUGGAUUAUUUUUGGUUUUAAAAGGUACUGUCAAACUGUUUUCAGAGUGGCUAUUCCAUUGUACAUUUCCACCAGUAGUGUAUGAGUAAUCUAAUUUUUGCAUUCUCUAGUAUUUGGUGUUACACAAAUUUUCAUUUUAGCCUUUUUGAUAGCUGUGUAGUGAUAUUUCAUUUUUAUUUUAAUUUACAUUUCUCUAAUGGCUAAUGAUAUCGAACAUCUUUUGAUGUGCUUGCUUGCUGUCUGUGUGUCUCCUUUGGUGAAGUGUCCAUGCAUAUCUUUGUGUUCAUUUUCUAAUUGGAUUUUUCAUUUUUUUAAUGUUGAGUUUUGAGAGUUCUCUUCAUAGCCUAGAUAUGAAUCCAUUGUUGGGUAUGUGGUUUACAAAUAUUUUCUCCCAGAUUGUCAAUUGGUUUUUUAAAUCUGCAAAAAACAAACAAACAAAAAACCAUGUUUUUUUGCAGAGCACAAGUUUGAAAUUGUGAUGAAGAUGAUUCUCUUUUUAUAUAUUUAUGAUUGAUCUAAAGAAUUUUAAAUUGCCAAAUUACCUCUUCCUCCUCAGCUCAGACUUGGUUACAUUUAAGAUGAAUAAAAUCAUGCAGUAUGCAGUGUUCAAGAAUAGUGGAAUGCCUGUGUGUUUGGCUCUAUUCUAGUACCAAUUCUCCUCUUCAGCAGUGUUUUAAUUAAUGAAGAAAAAUUCAGCUCUUUUAAGGAGGUAGCUUCAUUCUGAGAUUCAGCAAGAUUUCAUUACAGGUUCUACUUGUACCAUGGACUCUUGCAGAUAAAGAUACCUUACAACACUAAUAUUACUAACAUUUUCCUCUCUGCACAAUCCUGCACAUCCCAGAAAGUGCAGGAACAUUCCAUGUUGCUUUGUUUAUACACAUUUAGCCUUUUGCUUCUCCUUUGGCAGUCCAUUUGUUCAUUGCACAAAUACUGCACACCUACCAGUGUAACAGGAUUGUGCUAAUAAGUUCAGGAUUAUAAUGGGGACAGGAUAGGCAUAGGUGCUGGCUUCAUGGAGUUUACAUUUUCAUUCUUGUCUUAUCAUUAUAGACUUAUGCUGCCUGUGAAUGUUUCACUGAUUCAAUUAAAUAUCCUCAUUUCCUAUCUCCUGUUAAAGAAUCUUUCUCAUUCGUCCAAAAUGCAGCAUGUCCAAAUCUCAGUGAAUGGUUUUAAUGCUUUGGGAGUGGCUGCAUUCCAUUAAAAUGAAAACCAAGCCAAACAAGUAAUACUUACAAGCAUGCACAUGAGAAUAUGUUAUGAGGAGGAAAAUCCUCAUAUUUAGCUACUUUCUUGCCAACUGGGGAAAUUUUUGGCAGAGCCGUAAGUUACCUUAAGAGUGAUUGAGUCUUCUAAAUAUGAGAUCUCAAAGGCUUCCAUUCACCUUAUUCUAUAGAAUGAAGCCCAGCCAUUUGAAUUAACUAGUUAAUCAAACACCAUAUGCAUAGUCCAUGUUUUUCAAAAUAUUGGUCUUAUAUUAUUUAUAAAAACUGAUUCCAUGUUGGUUUUAUGGUAUAAAUUAGGCACUUUCCCUAUCUGUAAAUUGGCUGAACUAUUUGUAGUCUGGCUGAAAUGUAACUUGCCCAAACAUACGGAAAAUUCUAAAAUACAAUCUAAACUAUGUUAGUUAGAAAUCAAAGUUAGUUAAGAAACAUCCUGAGGUGAAAAUUUAAUUUUGAGUUAAAUUCUUUGUUAUCUAAUAGCCUUUAAAUUUUUGUUGUUGUUGUGAAUAGGUUUGCGUGUGAUAGUUUGCAGACAGGUCAGCCAGAUUUCUAAAAGUUUAUAAUGUAACAAACACAUACUAUUUUCUCUGUACUGGGCAUGUCUUAUGUUCUUCACAAAUAUUAACUAACUUGUCAUAAUAAACCUAAAAAAUAGAUAAUAUUAUUAGCCUCAUUGUAUAUAGAUGGUAGAACUGAGGCACAGAAUGGCUAUUAUACCCCAAAGCCCCAAAGUUAGUUGAUAAGUAGCAGAGCCAGGCAGGAUUCAAAAAUCAGUCUAUCUGGCUCUUUGAGGCUAUGCUCUUAACCACUACACAAUGGUCCCAUAUUGUGGUUAAUCAAGUGCUUUUCCACAAAACACUACAAAGACAUUGAACUGAGAUCUUCCCAUAAUUGAGAAAGCAGCAUGGAAAAGGAAAUAAUAUAUGGAAGUUUUUGGUAGGAGGAAAAUUGGACCUUGAGUCAGAAGAUUUGAGUUCUGGCAUUGCCAGUAUAAGCUUGGUAACUUUGGGGAGGUAACUAUAUUUCCUAUUGCUACUAUCAGAAAUUACCACAAAUUUAGUGGCAUAAAACACCAAUUUAUUCUCUUACAUUUUUGGAGGUGAGAAGUUUAAAGUCUAGGUGUUGGCAGGGCUGCCUUCUGGAAGCUUCAGGGGAGAAUCCGUUUCUUUGCCUUUUCCACCUUCUGGAGGUCGCCUGCAUUCAUUGGCUCAUUGUCCCUUCUAGCACCUUCAAAGUACAUCACUCUAAUCACUGGUUCCUUUGUUACAUCUUCUUUUCCUUUCUUUUAUCCUUGGUGCUCUUUUAUAAGGUCCUUGUAACUACAGUGGGCUCACCAGAUAAUUCAAGAUAGUUUCCCCAUCUCAAAAUCCUUAAUUUAAACACAUAUGCAAAAUCCCUUUUGCCAUGUAAGAUAACAUAUGCAUAGGUCCUAAGGAUUAGGACAUGGGCAUCUCUGGAGGGCCACCGUUCUGUCUACCACAGUUACUUUAUUUCUGUGGACCUUAUCUAAUCCACUGAUAGUGCUAUCUAUCAGAAAUAGAGGUUUCACUGUUGAAAUUUUUUUUGCAAAUGUAAAAUAUUUUUCAUAUUUUUCAUAUUGCAUUUUUUUCAUAUUUUCAUAUUGCAUUAUUUCAUAUUUUUCAUAUUUCAUUUUAAACUAAGAGUUUUCAGUUGAAAAAGUGAUAUGGUAAAAAGUUUCUUUCUCCCUUUGUUAUUUUUAAGAUGUUCAGAUCUAUGAGAGGCUACAUUGUUGUAGCCAAAUUUGAGACCUACAGUCCUUGCAGAUUUUUAGCAAUACAUUGAAUGACUAGAACCUUUUUAUUGAAGAGCAAUACUAAAAUAUAAAUAAAGCUCUGGAUGUAAGUUAGGUUGCAUCUGGAUGUAAGUUACAAAAACUUCAAGAACUUCAAAUGACUUAAACAGUAAGGACAUUUGUUAUCUGGUUAUUUCACAUAAUGAGGAUACUAAGUCGGUAACAGUUUAAUACUAGCUUAGUGAUUUCAUUAAGAACUCAUAUUCCUUUCAUUGCUCUCCUGUGCCAUCUUUGCUCUUAGACUGGCUCCCUCAGGUUCACAAGAGGGCUGCAGUAUUUCCAUCAUAUUCUAAACCAAUAUUAUGGAAAGACAGAAGAAAGACCAUCUCUUGUGAGGCUUUGUUUUUUAGGAAUAAGGAAACCUUUCCCAAAAGCCAUUUGACAGACUUCCUGGUUUUAUUGACAGAAUUCUGUUACAUGCCCAUUUAAAAAUCAGUUGAAGGCAAAGUGAGUCGGAUAACCUACCAUGUUUAACUAGAUCCCAUAGUGUCCAAUAGGACUUUCUUUAGUGAUGGAAAAGUUCUGUAUCUGUGCUUCCAAUACAGUAGCUGUUAGCCACAUGUGGCAAUUCUUGAGCACUUGAAAUGUGCCUAGUGCAAUUACAGAGCUGAGUUUUUGGAAUUAAUUUAAAUUUAAAUGAUCAUAUAUGGCCAGUGGAUACCACAUUUGGCCACAUACAACCAGAUCAGUCAUUUGAGCACAAUGGAUGCUAGGUAGUUGACUAACUACCGCGUUCAUUACAUCUUUAAUAAAAUAUCUUUUAUAAAACAGUGAACAGGUGAUGUAUUUGUCUUUGGAACCUCAAUUCAAUUACUGACCCACUUGGGAGGUUCUUUUGGAGUCCAACAAACCAAAUACAUAAAACCAGUACACAUGCUUACAAGGGCUAACGGUGGCAGAAUAUUCUAGUUGAAGGGGUAAGGUGGGAAAUCAUGAUAUGCUAUCAUGUGCCAGCAUAUGCUAUGGUUCAACUUAUAAUGGAGGUUUGGGCUAGGAACUCUAAUGGAGAGAAACAGUCUGCUCUUCUCCAUUAGGAAGCUGGUGUGUUACGCAAUGUUGUAAAUAGGGAAUGGCAACCCUUAUUAAUAGAAAAUGCCUGCCAAAAACUGCCUGUCUUGGAGAUUGUACAGCUAGGGAAGUACAUAGAUGGUAUCUGGGAGGAUCCAUCCAUUUAAUAAAUAUUUAUAAACCACAUGCUCUGUGCCAGGUACUGUUCUAGGUACUGAAAAGAUAGUAAACAAGACUAAGCCCUGUCCUCAUAGAACUUUGUUGUUACAAAGAAAUAAGUAAUAUAUUUCAAAUUGUGAUAAACCUUGAGAAGAAAAUAGGGCAAGAGAACAGGAUAGAGUGAAUGAAGUAAAUUUUAACAAAUGCCUGGAUCUGUGACUUUCUUGUCAAAAGCUCAGGGUUUUGAGUUUUUUCUGCUGGGAGAGGACAUUUGGUUUAUAGGCUUACUUAGUUCACAGAAAAAAAAAAAAAAAAGGACUGUGUUUGGAUUAGCUAAUUGCCAAAAGAAAGAAAAUUUAAACCAGUUCCUGAGAAGUUAGUAUAUUUCUCUGCUGUUUUAAAAUUAAAUUAUGGUGAACCUUGCAUGGCCCAAUAUUAGUAUGAAAUUUAUUUCUAGCUUGAUUCAUGUUCCUCUGUAUUCGUUGCCUUAUCUGAAGAACUUUGGCUAUCUUAAGUAAACUUCUGGGCUCCAGUUUUCUUAAUCAUCCAAUGGAAUUAUUAAUAAUAAUUGCCAAUCAUGGGUUCUGGAAAGAUUGGUGUUAUCAAAAUAAUUAUAAAAUGUUUUAUAUAAAUUUGUAGGCCAAAAGAGAGAGGAAGCAUUUCUUAUUAAAAUUGAGCAAGUGAUUUAGCCUCUCUGGGUCUUAGUUUUUCCAAUGCUAAAACAAAGUAUUUGCAGUAUUGCCAGGAAUGUUAGAAAACAGAUCCUCUCAGUGCUGGUUCAAAUAGAAACUGGUACAACCUUUCUGGUGAGCUAAGUGGCAGAAUAGUUACAGGUUCUUUAAAAUGUGCAUACCCUUUUGCCCCAAGGAACAAAAUUGAAUAGGUGUUUAAGUGUGUAUGUUUAAGGAUAUUUAUCACACUAUUGUUUAUAAUGUCUAGAGAUAGUAAACAAAUGUUGAACGCUAGGAAUUUUGGUGCAUUCCAUGUGGAAUUCUAUGCAGCUACUAAAGAUGAUGAUAGUAUCAAUAGAUAUUAAUAGAAUUGGAAAGAAAGUCACAGUGUCCUACAUUUGUGGUCAUCUGUGAUUUUGUGGUCAUCUGUGAUGUGUGGUCAUCUGAGUCGAUUUUGAAUCUACUCAGUAAUUACUGAGUACUACACAUUAUACUAAUAGGCUUUGUUCAGAUAUUAUCUCCCUGAAGUUUCAUAUGAACCCAAGUAAGAAUAAUCUGGGACCUCCUUUUGCAGAUGAAGGAACCAAGGAUCAGAAGACUAAAGUAACUUGUCCAAAUCCUUCAAUUCAGAGGCAGCAGAGUCAGAAUUUAUACCUAGCCAAUUGACUUCAGCUACCACAGUCUGAAACCGUGGGUUAGACUGCCUCUGUGAACUCUCUACAUGGGCUGACCAUCACAGCAUACAGUGGAGUUGUCUAGAGGGCCUCUAAAGUAUGAUAUUUUAACAACUUGAAUGAAGAACCAGAUAUCAGACUCCAGCUGUCAUCUACGAAGCCAGACAUUAAAGGGAUUUGUAAGAAUGUACAAUGCCAUUCUUCUCACCAAAUUAUAUUGUUUUAGAAAAUAGUUAUUCUUCAUUAAAUCAUUAUUUAUGCUAA